rnacentral:snRNA from 1 species
UGCUCGCUUCGGCAGCACAUAUACUAA